rnacentral:rRNA from 1 species
UACGAAGGGUGCAAGCGUUGCUCGGAAUUAUUGGGCGUAAAGCGCACGUAGGCGGCUUUGCAAGUCCCAUGUGAAAUCCCACGGCUCAACCGUGGAAGUGCAUGGGAAACUGCAGAGCUUGAGUACUUAAGAGGAUCGCGGAAUUCCCGGUGUAGAGGUGAAAUUCGUAGAUAUCGGGAGGAACACCAGUGGCGAAGGCGGCGAUCUGGGAAGAUACUGACGCUGAGGUGCGAAAGCGUGGGGAGCAAACAGG